CCUGCCCUUUGUACACACCGCCCGUCGCUCUUACCGAUUGAGUGGUCUGGUGAAGUGUUCGGAUCGCGGCCUGCGGGCGGUUCGCCACCGGCGAGUCACGAGAAGUCUGCUAAACCAUAUCAUUUAGAGGAAGGAUAAGUCGUAACAAGGUUUCCGUAGGGGAACUUGCAGAAGGAUCAUUG
rnacentral:rRNA from 1 species